ensembl:lncRNA LINC01657 long intergenic non-protein coding RNA 1657
AGUGGGGCUAGAGUUGCCUCCCCAGGAGGGGCUGGAGGUCAGGGCCUGGUGGGCUCUGCAGGCUUAUCAGUUCAGCACAACGUGCUCCUGCAUUCAAGAAACAGGGCAUGGGGCUGCUCACUGGCACUGGAGGCCGAAAGAAGGUGAGGGCAAGUGAGAUGCAGGGACCUCUUCUCACAGCUGUGCUGACAAGCACAAAAAGGAGCCCCCCACGUCCACACCAGGAAAGGGGGGAUGGUGCACAAGAUCCAGCAGGAACUUUGGAGUCACACUGACGUGGGUUCAAAUCCCAGCUCUGCCGCUGAGCAACUGUGAGAUCUUGGCAAAUGUUUAACUUUCCUGAUCCUCUAUUGACUCAUAUGCUAAAUGUGACUUAGAAUGCUUGUGUCGUAAGACUGGCGUGAGAUAAAGUACGGCAAGUGGGAAACACAAAGCCUGUGCACGUGAGGCCCUCAACAGAAAAAGCUGAAUUGCUGUGUACUGGUAGCCUCCUUUCUCUUACCAGGAAGCCCACGCCUCUGGCUAAACCCUCAGGCUCACUUGCCCACCAUUACCAGGUGCCUGUCUCCCUUGCCUGUCUUCCCUUGACUCGGGGAACUUCACCUGCUUUCCUUCCCUAGAAGGCCCCAGCGCCCACCUUGCUUGCUGUCCUUCAAAUCAAACAACCUGCCCUUUCUUCUAAAAAGGCUUUACUGUUAUCACUAAAGGGAAACAAAAAGGUGCAACUAAAACUAGCCUUCCUUAAGCCUGGGCCCAAGUCCCAACCCUGAUGCUAACUUGCAGUGCUACCUUCAAUAAGGUGUCCAGCUUCUCAAAGCCUCAAUUCUCUUACCUGUCAAUGAAGAGGGCUGUCCUAAAAGAGCUUUAAGAGUCUCUCCUACCCUACAAAAUUGUUUUAUUUUAGAAACAAAAGAAACAUCUUGCAAAAUCUUCAUAAGUACUUAUAUCCCGUAUUUCUCUCCAUACUCUUCUCAUGCGUGAUCGGCUGACUCCCAAACUUCUUGCCAAAGUGCUCCUUUAUCCUGAGAUGUUAGUGCCCCUCACCACCACCACCAGCCUCUGGGUUCCCCCGACUCCCCCUGUGCUCUCAAUCUGCCUGCAUUCUUUGGGCAUCAUGUUCUGGAAGAUUGAUAGGGCUUUAGGUAUUCAGGUAGCUCAAUGAGCCAUUUUCUUCCCAGGUGGCUCAUUCCUUAGGGCAUAAUCCUUCCUGUCCUCCUUCCCUUUUUCUCACAUAAUCCUUGUUUCAGUCAACUUAAGCUAAGUUCAGCAAUGGUAACAAAUGAUCCCAAAUCUUAGUGGCUUACAAUAGCCAAGAGCUAUUUCUUGCUCAUAUUCAUGUGCAUGGCAGGUUGGCAAGGCCUGUUCCACAUCCUCUUCAUCCCAGAACUGAGAAGUCUCACCUGAUGGAGGAAGAACCAAUGGCAGAGCCAUGUGAUGGAUCCUCAAGCUUCUGCUUGAACCAAGUCCAUGUCACUUCCAUUUACAUUGUAUCAGCUAAAGCAAGUCACACAGGCCAGCCUGCUGUCGGUAGGACAGGAGGUGACAGGACAAAAGCCCAGAGACAUGAGAUAAUUAGCCUGAGCUAACGCAGCAAAUCAGUGGAAGAGGAGGGACUAGAGCCCAAAUGUGUUGACCUUCCAGUGCAGAUACAACAGAAGGGCCAAGAGGAGAUAGGUCUGGAUUCAAUCCCAGCUCCAUAAUUCUAGGCAAAUUCUUUCAACUCUGAGCCUUGGCUUCCCUUCUAUAAUAUAGGCUAAGAGCACCCACCUCCUGCAGGGAGGUUGGGAGAGCUGGCUGAAAUUUCAUAAA